UCUAACCUCUUUCUCCGAUUUCCUUUUAGCGUACCGCCAGAACCUCGGUCUGCCAAUAUCCGCCAUCGACCUCCGUCUCAACUGCCAAUAUCCCGCUGUCAACCUCCACCAACACUAGCAGAACCUCAAUUGUCUUUUUCCUCCACCUAUAAACUUUAUCUCCUCCACCAAAACAACAACUAUUCAAUUAAUCAAAGCUCUAUGGUUUCAAAUAGUCACAAAAUUCUAGGGUUUUUUUCUCGAUUAAGCUCGACUACAACUCCUUGUUCUCACUGAGCCUUAAUUCUAGGUUUUGGCUCGACUCUCGCAAAUUUUCUGAUUUAUUUUGCAUGAUCUUCUUUUAUUCCUUUAGUAAUUUCUCAAUAGUUCAGUCGUAACUUGCAGAUUCCAUUAGCGAGGACGAAAAUGCAACUGAUAGCUGUGGGAUAAAUAAUUGUAAGAUUUCUUAAACUUUUUUUAAUAUAAACCGUUGUGAUUUUGGAUGUAAAUUUCAGUUAAAAUGUUCCUUUUUGCUCGAUUAAGUGAUUUUUAUUUUAUUUUGGGAGUAUUUGAGUUAUGUAGUGUGAUUGAAUGGAGAUUCAAAUCCAUAUGACACAAGCAUUAAAAAGUAUCUACUCGGACUUAACAAUUACGGGAACUUGGGGUUUUUGGUUUAUUAUGGAUUUUUUUAGUUAUCGUUUUCAUGUAAAAAUUUUGUGUUAUGAGGCUUUUUUUGUUGCAUAUUUGUCUCUAUGUCUAUGAUUUAAGAAUAAUGUUGUCUUUCUAAUAGUUUGAUGCUUGUGCUUGAAACAAAUAUAGAAUUCAACGAAUCUGUUGGAGUAUUUUAAUCCAACAGAUAUUGAGUCUAUAUUUAUUGUUAAUGAUUUAGGGAAAUGAAGGGUCCAGUCCAUCGAAAAAUAUUUCGUGGUUAUGCUCGUGGUGAAGUGGUUAUCCAGUAUUGUUUCCUGCCCUCUACAUGUUUGUACUACAUGUUUACCUGAAUUAAAUGAAGAGACUGAUAUGGAACAUACCAAAUUUGGUGCUCCUAAUUAGCUGUGCUUUGUUGCAAAUUCUUCUUACUGAAGUCAUAAGCUAGCUAACUUCUUACUGUAUCACUUUCUAUUUCUGGUUAAUCUUCAUUUGGCUUCAUUGUUCUGACCUUAUUUGCAAUUUGCAUCUAGCAUUUACUAGUAUUAUGGUGACAACUUUUACGUGUAAUAGCAUUGAUGCAGUUUCAGAUCGCGAUUUUUCAUGGAGUUCCUUUCUGCAAAUUCCAUCACUGCUAAAGAAUUUGGUUUCACUGCUUAGAUAAAGAUUCCUCAAGUUAAUGUUUCCUUCUUUAGCAGUGAUUGAUCUAACUAGUUCAAUUUUAGUAUAUCUUUGCUUUUGUAUAGCG
rnacentral:lncRNA from 1 species